rnacentral:rRNA from 1 species
GGGGUUCCGCCCCUUAGUGCUGCAGCUAACGCAUUAAGCACUCCGCCUGGGGAGUACGACCGCAAGGUUGAAACUCAAAGGAAUUGACGGGGACCCGCGCAAGCGGUGGAGCAUGUGGUUUAAUUCGAAGCAACGCGAAGAACCUUACCAAAUCUUGACAUCCUCUGACCCCUCUAGAGAUAGAGUUUUCCCCUUCGGGGGACAGAGUGACAGGUGGUGCAUGGUUGUCGUCAGCUCGUGUCGUGAGAUGUUGGGUUAAGUCCCGCAACGAGCGCAACCCUUAAGCUUAGUUGCCAUCAUUAAGUUGGGCACUCUAAGUUGACUGCCGGUGACAAACCGGAGGAAGGUGGGGAUGACGUCAAAUCAUCAUGCCCCUUAUGAUUUGGGCUACACACGUGCUACAAUGGACAAUACAAAGGGCAGCGAAACCGCGAGGUCAAGCAAAUCCCAUAAAGUUGUUCUCAGUUCGGAUUGUAGUCUGCAACUCGACUAUAUGAAGCUGGAAUCGCUAGUAAUCGUAGAUCAGCAUGCUACGGUGAAUACGUUCCCGGGUCUUGUACACACCGCCCGUCACACCACGAGAGUUUGUAACACCCGAAGCCGGUGGAGUAACCAUUUGGAGCUAGCCGUCGAAGGUGGGACAAAUGAUUGGGGUGAAGUCGUAACAAGGUAGCCG